rnacentral:rRNA from 1 species
GACGAACGCUGGCGGCGUGCUUAACACAUGCAAGUCGAACGGGCCCGCUCUCUUUUUUGGGGGUGGGUUGAGUGGCGAACGGGUGAGUAUCACGUGAGUAACCUGCCCCCUGCUCCUGGAUAACUGCUUGAAAGGGCGGCUAAUACGGGGUGUGCCGGCUGGUCCGCAUGGGCCUGGUCGGGAUAGUUUCAUCUUCGGGUGUUUCGGUGGGGGAUGGGCUCGCGGCCUAUCAGCUUGUUGGUGGGGUGAUGGCCCACCAAGGCGGUGACGGGUAGCCGGCCUGAGAGGGUGGGCGGCCACACUGGGACUGAGACACGGCCCAGACGCCUGCGGGAGGCAGCAGUGGGGGGUAUUGCACAAUGGGCGGAAGCCUGAGGCAGCGACGUCGCGUGAGGGAUGGAGGCCGUCGGGUGGUGAACCUCUUUCUCCGGUGGUGAAGGCCCUGUCCGUUGCGGCGGGGUUGACGGUAGCCGGGUAUGAAGCGCCGGCUAACUACGUG